rnacentral:rRNA from 1 species
UGGGGAAUAUUGGACAAUGGGCGCAAGCCUGAUCCAGCCAUGCCGCGUGAGUGAUGAAGGCCCUAGGGUUGUAAAGCUCUUCAACGGUGAAGAUAAUGACGGUAGCCGGAGAAGAAGCCCCGGCUAACUUCGUGCCAGCAGCCGCGGUAAUACGAAGGGGGCUAGCGUUGUUCGGAUUUACUGGGCGUAAAGCGCACGUAGGCGGAUUUUUAAGUCAGGGUGAAAUCCCGGGGCUCAACCCCGGAACUGCCUUUGAUACUGGAAGUCUUGAGUAUGGAAGAGGUGAGUGGAAUUCCGAGUGUAGAGGUGAAAUUCGUAGAUAUUCGGAGGAACACCAGUGGCGAAGGCGGCUCACUGGUCCAUUACUGACGCUGAGGUGCGAAAGCGUGGGGAGCAAACAGGAUUAGAUACC